UUAGUUAGUUAGUUAGCUUAAUACAAAGAAGAGGAAGAAGAAGAAGAAGAGGAGGAGGAGGAGAAGAGGAAAAGAUGAGGAGGAGGAGGAGAAGAAGACGAAGAAGAAGAAGAGGAGAAGAAAAAAAUAAGAAGGAGAAGAAUAAAAGAAGAAGAGAACAAGAAGAGAACAAGAAGAAAAGAAGAAGAGAAGAAGAAAAAAAUAAGAAGGAGAAGAAGAGAAAAAAAGAAGAAAAGAAGAAUAAGUAGAAGAAGAGGAGAAAGAAAAA
rnacentral:lncRNA from 1 species